AAGCGUGCGCAGGCGGUUUUGUAAGUCAGAUGUGAAAUCCCCGAGCUCAACUUGGGAACUGCGUUUGAAACUACAAGACUAGAAUAUGUCAGAGGGGGGUAGAAUUCCACGUGUAGCAGUGAAAUGCGUAGAGAUGUGGAGGAAUACCAAUGGCGAAGGCAGCCCCCUGGGAUAAUAUUGACGCUCAUGCACGAAAGCGUGGGGAGCAAACAGAAUUAGAUACCCUGGUAGUCCACGCCCUAAACGAUGUCUACUAGUUGUUGGUGGAGUAAAAUCCAUGAGUAACGCAGCUAACGCGUGAAGUAGACCGCCUGGGGAGUACGGUCGCAAGAUUAAAACUCAAAUGAAUUGACGGGGGCCCGCACAAGCGGUGGAUUAUGUGGAUUAAUUCGAUGCAACGCGAAAAACCUUACCUGGCCUUGACAUGUAACGAACUUUCCAGAGAUGGAUUGGUGCUCGAAAGAGAGCGUUAACACAGGUGCUGCAUGGCUGUCGUCAGCUCGUGUCGUGAGAUGUUGGGUUAAGUCCCGCAACGAGCGCAACCCUUGCCAUUAAUUGCCAUCAUUUAGUUGGGCACUUUAAUGGGACUGCCGGUGACAAACCGGAAGAAGGUGGGGAUGACGUCAAGUCCUCAUGGCCCUUAUGGCC
rnacentral:rRNA from 1 species